CACGUAGGGGGGCAAGCGUUGUCCGGAAUCAUUGGGCGUAAAGAGCUCGUAGGCGGCUCGGUAAGUCGGGUGUGAAACCCCCAGGCUCAACCUGGGGACGCCACCCGAUACUGCUGUGGCUAGAGUCCAGUAGGGGAGUGUGGAAUUCCCGGUGUAGCGGUGAAAUGCGUAGAUAUCUGGAGGAACACCGUGGCGAAGGCGGCAUCCUGGACCAAUAUUGACGCUGAGGAGCGAAAAGCCAGGGGAGCAAACGGGG
rnacentral:rRNA from 1 species